rnacentral:rRNA from 1 species
UACGUAGGUGGCGAGCGUUGUCCGGAUUUACUGGGCGUAAAGCGCGCGCAGGCGGCUGUUCAAGUCCGAUGUGAAAUCUUCCGGCUUAACUGGAAAACGGCAUUGGAUACUGGACGGCUGGAAGGUGGGAGAGGGUAGCGGAAUUCCUGGUGUAGCGGUGAAAUGCGCAGAUAUCAGGAAGAACACCCGUGGCUAAGGCGGCUCUCUAGUACGGUACUGACGCUGAGACGCGAAAGCGUGGGGAGCGAACAGG